rnacentral:rRNA from 1 species
AAUGAACGCUGGCGGCAUGCCUAAUACAUGCAAGUCGAGCGAACGGUCGGGAAGCUUUCGUCUCUGAGUUUAUCGGCGGACGGGAGAGUAACACGGGGAUAACCUACCUAUAAGACUGGGAUAACUUCGGGAAACCGGAUCUAAGACCGGAUAAUAUUUUGAACUGCAUGGGUCAAAAGUGAAAUACGGUCUUGCUUUCGCUUAUAGAUGAAAACGCGCUGCAUUAGUUAGUUGGUAAGGUAACGGAUUACCAAGGCAACGAUGCAGAGCCGGACCGAGAGGGCGAUCGGUAACACUGGAGCUGGGACACUGAGCCGACUCGGACGGGAGACAGCAGUAGGACAUCUUCCGGAAUGGGCGAAAGGCUGACGGAGCAACGCGGCGUGAGCGAUGACGGUCUUCGCCUCGUAAAACAUUGUUACUAGGGAAUUACAUAUGUGUAAGUACCUGGGUAAAUAUUGAAGGUCCGUAAGAAUAAAGCCACGCUUACCCCGGU